rnacentral:lncRNA from 1 species
AAUUAAUUUCGAGCCUAAAUUUAAGCUCAAGCUUGGAUUGAAAUUAAUUCGAGCCGAGCUCGAGCGAGCCUAAUUUCAAGUCGAGCGAGCUCGAGCCCUAAACGAGCCGCUUGAAAUUCUCAACAUUAUACGAUCAAUAGUUUAAUUUGUAUAGAACAUUAUCUAUAAUUUGCUACAAAAAUAUGUAUAAUAAUUCAUAGUACAAAAUAAUUAUAUGAAAUAUAGUAUUAUAAUAUGAAAAAAAAUAAUUUAUGAGUUGAAUAUCUAAUUUUUUCAGUCUCUCAUGUCUUUUCUUCCGCCUUCAAUCUCUAUAUUAUUUAUUUUUAUUUAUGCAGUCAAAAAUAAAUAAGUUAUAUAGAUAAAUAUUGGAUUAAACUAUCCAAUCAUAUAUAACUAAAAUUAAAAUUUUAUAUGAAUAAAAAUUUUUUACUUUAACAAUAUUCUGUAUAUUUUUUCAAACAUACAAUUAAUAGUAAGGUAGGCAACGGCGGGCAUAUGAUGUUACUUGAUAACUUAGAGGGCUUCCGGCUUGGCCACUUAGGGUGAGAGACAGAAAAAGAGAAAGAGAAACAUAUUGAAAAUUUAGAGCUCUGUGAAAGAAAUAAAGAAAGAAAGAAAACAUAUAUAAAUUUAGUAAAAUUUUGCUCUUUUAUUUGUCUAUAUUGGGUUUGUUUUUAUGGACCAACAAUAUUGGCCCAAUUUUAACUAAACUCAGAUUAUUCACUCAGCCUAUAUAUAAUUAAAAUAUAUUAUAUUUAUAUAUAUUUUAAUAUAUAUAUAGUGUAGAACUACUAUGCUAUCGAAAAUAUAGAGAAUUUGAUGCUUUUGAAUUUUUGACCAUUUGAUUAAAAAUUGUAUGGUUGAGAUGAUUGUGGUCUCACCUAGGAUUAAAUAAUACUAUUAGAAUUGAGUGGUCCUUACAAGGUAAUAAUAAUAUUAAUCCAAAGAUAAGAAACGAUUAAAGGGAUUGAUCUAAGAAUCAAAAAAUCGAAAGCACCAUAUCUCUAUACUUUCGAUAGCAUAGUAGCUCUACUAUAUAUAUAUAUAUAUAUAUAUAUAUAUAUUCGAGCUUUUCGAGCUUUUCGAGCCUAAUUCGAACGAGCCGAGUAAUACUCAAGCUCGGCUUGAAAUGAAUUUCGAGCUUUUUUUUUUGUU